rnacentral:rRNA from 1 species
UACGGAGGAUCCGAGCGUUAUCCGGAUUUAUUGGGUUUAAAGGGAGCGUAGGUGGACAGUUAAGUCAGUUGUGAAAGUUUGCGGCUCAACCGUAAAAUUGCAGUUGAUACUGGCUGUCUUGAGUACAGUAGAGGUGGGCGGAAUUCGUGGUGUAGCGGUGAAAUGCUUAGAUAUCACGAAGAACUCCGAUUGCGAAGGCAGCUCACUGGACUGCAACUGACACUGAUGCUCGAAAGUGUGGGUAUCAAACAGGAUUAGAUACCCUGGUAGUCCACACAGUAAACGAUGAAUACUCGCUGUUUGCGAUAUACAGUAAGCGGCCAAGCGAAAGCAUUAAGUAUUCCACCUGGGGAGUACGCCGGCAACGGUGAAACUCAAAGGAAUUGACGGGGGCCCGCACAAGCGGAGGAACAUGUGGUUUAAUUCGAUGAUACGCGAGGAACCUUACCCGGGCUUAAAUUGCAUUUGAAUAUAUUGGAAACAGUAUAGCCGUAAGGCAAAUGUGAAGGUGCUGCAUGGUU